UACGUAGGGCGCAAGCGUUGUCCGGAAUUAUUGGGCGUAAAGAGCUCGUAGGCGGUCUGUCGCGUCAGUUGUGAAAACUCGGGGCUCAACCCCGAGACGUCGAUUGAAACCCUCUGGCUAGAGUCCGGAAGAGGAGAGCGGAAUUCCUGGUGUAGCGGUGAAAUGCGCAGAUAUCAGGAAGAACACCCGUGGCGAAGGCGGCUCUCUGGGACGGUACUGACGCUGAGGAGCGAAAGCGUGGGGAGCGAACAGG
rnacentral:rRNA from 1 species